rnacentral:rRNA from 1 species
UGGGGAAUUGUUCGCAAUGGGCGCAAGCCUGACGACGCAACGCCGCGUGGAGGAUGAAGAUCUUCGGGUCGUAAACUCCUGUCGAGCGGGACGAACGCUUCCUGGGUGAAUAGCCCGGGGAAUUGACGGUACCGCUAAAGGAAGCCACGGCUAACUCCGUGCCAGCAGCCGCGGUAAUACGGGGGGGGCAAGCGUUGUUCGGAAUUACUGGGCGUAAAGGGCUCGUAGGCGGCCAACUAAGUCGGAUGUGAAAUCCCCAGGCUCAACCUGGGAACUGCAUCCGAUACUGGAUGGCUUGAAUCCGGGAGAGGGAUGCAGAAUUCCAGGUGUAGCGGUGAAAUGCGUAGAUAUCUGGAGGAAUACCGGUGGCGAAGGCGGCAUCCUGGACCGGCAUUGACGCUCAAGAGCGAAAGCUAGGGGAGCAAAC